UAGAAAUAUAGAAGUUCAAAGCCUGGAGCUACCUUUGCUUUUGUAAGCUGGAUACAGACAGUCUCAGAGGAGGAGAGAGACAGAGAUAAUUCAGCCCUGUGAGGGAAAGCCAAUGUCUAGCCAUGGGAUAUCUGGAGAAUAAAAGAUCUCUGAAGGCUCAGCAUCAUUACUUGAACAGCAGCUUGCACACCAGCAUGGCAGUGACUGUUGGAAAAGCUGGGAAAUUGUAUGUUGGAGGCUGGAUCAAUUAAUCAGAUGCAUUUUAUACAAAUAUCACACCCAUCGCGCUGCUGACAUCGUUCCUUUUGUGAAACGAGUUACUUCUACAUUCUCAGGCAGCACAAUACGGAAUGAUGCUCAAUAUGUUUUUUCUGAAUCCCUGGUUGAGAAAAUUUGCCCACUCUUCACCUCUUUACAUCAGGGACUGUGAUAAGGCAGGUGCUCUAUGCUGAAAAAAAUAAGGGCCUCAUAGGUGACCCAUUGUGAAGGCAUGAUGAAGAUGGAGAUGGAAUCAAAACCAAGCAAAGCAGCUGGUGGCAAAUGAAGAGAUAGAUGACAUUUUAAGUCUUUUCUAAAAGGAGAAUAAUUUUUGCUCUGUCUUCUGGCUCUCUAAUCAGAGGAGCAGAAACAACUGAGGGUAAUGAUGAGUUGUAAGUAGGAAAUCUGAAGCAAUAUCCAUGAUGAUGAGUUUCUUAGGGAUGAUCAAUGAGUUUUUUCUGAAUGGGGUGUGAUGGAGAUGAUGAUGGAGUCUCCACUGCUGUCUGUAUAAAAUGAUGGCUAUCAUUUACAUUAUCUAUGUGGCUUUGGGCAAGUCACACUCUUUAUGUUCUACUUCCUUAUUUACAAAAUGUUAGGGCAUAGAACUAGAUGAAUUCUAGUAUUCCUUUUUUUCUCCAAAUAUUAUGAUUCUAUUAACACACACUCUUUAAGGUCCUAUCUUAUCCUAGAUAGAAGGUCUU